UGUGGCCUACGGGGGGCAGCAGUGAGGAAUAUUGGUCAAUGGGCUUACGCCUGAACCAGCCAAGUCGCGUGAGGGAAGACUGCCCUAUGGGUUGUAAACCUCUUUUGUCAGGGAGCAACGCCGGCUACGUGUAGCCGGACUGAGAGUACCUGAAGAAAAAGCAUCGGCUAACUCCGUGCCAGCAGCCGCGGUAAUACGGAGGAUGCGAGCGUUAUCCGGAUUUACUGGGUGUAAAGGGAGCGUAGACGGCGCGGCAAGUCUGAAGGGAAAGGCAGGGGCUUAACCCCUGAACUGCU
rnacentral:rRNA from 1 species